rnacentral:rRNA from 1 species
UACGUAGGGACCGAGCGUUGUCCGGAAUCAUUGGGCGUAAAGAGCGUGUAGGCGGCCUUUUAAGUCCUGCGUGAAAUCCUGCGGCUCAACCGCAGACGGUCGUGGGAAACUGGAAGGCUAGAGUGCGGGAGAGGAGAGUGGAAUUCCCGGUGUAGCGGUGAAAUGCGCAGAUAUCGGGAAGAACACCCGUGGCGAAGGCGGCUCUCUGGUACGUGACUGACGCUGAGGAGCGAAAGCGUGGGGAGCGAACGGG